GGGUUGUGAGGUUAAGCGACUAAGCGUACACGGUGGAUGCCCUGGCAGUCAGAGGCGAUGAAGGACGUGCUAAUCUGCGAAAAGCGUCGGUAAGGUGAUAUGAACCGUUAUAGCCGGCGAUGUCCGAAUGGGGAAACCCAGUGCAAUUCGUUGCACUAUCGUUAACUGAAUACAUAGGUUAACGAGGCGAACCGGGGGAACUGAAACAUCUAAGUACCCCGAGGAAAAGAAAUCAACC
rnacentral:rRNA from 7 species